GAUGAACGCUGGCGGCGUACCUAAUACAUGCAAGUCGAGCGAACAGACGAGGAGCUUGCUCCUCUGACGUUAGCGGCGGACGGGUGAGUAACACGUGGAUAACCUACCUAUAAGACUGGGAUAACUUCGGGAAACCGGAGCUAAUACCGGAUAAUAUAUUGAACCGCAUGGUUCAAUAGUGAAAGACGGUUUUGCUGUCACUUAUAGAUGGAUCCGCGCCGCAUUAGCUAGUUGGUAAGGUAACGGCUUACCAAGGCGACGAUGCGUAGCCGACCUGAGAGGGUGAUCGGCCACACUGGAACUGAGACACGGGCCAGACUCCUACGGGAGGCAGCAGUAGGGAAUCUUCCGCAAUGGGCGAAAGCCUGACGGAGCAACGCCGCGUGAGUGAUGAAGGUCUUCGGAUCGUAAAACUCUGUUAUUAGGGAAGAACAAAUGUGUAAGUAACUAUGCACGUCUUGACGGUACCUAAUCAGAAAGCCACGGCUAACUACGUG
rnacentral:rRNA from 1 species